CAGCCGCCGCGGUAAUACGUAGGGUGCGAGCGUUAAUCGGAAUUACUGGGCGUAAACCGUGCGCAGGCGGUUAUAUAAGACAGAUGUGAAAUCCCCGGGCUCAACCUGGGACCUGCAUUUGUGACUGUAUAGCUAGAGUACGGUAGAGGGGGAUGGAAUUCCGCGUGUAGCAGUGAAAUGCGUAGAUAUGCGGAGGAACACCGAUGGCGAAGGCAAUCCCCUGGACCUGUACUGACGCUCAUGCACGAAAGCGUGGGGAGCAAACAGGAUUAGAUACCCCUGUAGUCCCUGUCUCUUAUAC
rnacentral:rRNA from 1 species